rnacentral:RNase_P_RNA from 1 species
GGGUGGACAUUCGCUCGCGGUUUUUCCGCGGGAGGAAAGUCCGGACACCACAGAGCGGAACUCCGUUUGAAAAAACGGGGCGGCAUUUGCAAGAAUGUCGCAUGGACAGUGCCACAGAAAACAAACCGCCUAUGCGCCUCAAAGCGCAUCGGCAAGGGUGAAAAGGAGGGGUAAGAGCCCACCGCCGCCGCGGGCAACCGCGACGGGCAUGGUAAACCCAGUUCGGUGCAAGACAAUGUAGGGGGCGGAGCUGCUCGUUCAAUCGCCCCGGGUAUGUCGCAUUCCCGAAAGGGGAGCGCGAAUUUCGAGAUUAUGCGCGGCAAUCCCGCCUUAAUUUGGAUAUCCGCGACAGAUAAAUGAAUGUCGGUCCCUCUAAGGGGCUACAAAAUCCGGCUUACAACCCUUC